GAUCCUGGCUCAGAACGAACGCUGGCGGCAGGCUUAACACAUGCAAGUCGAACGCCCCGCAAGGGGAGUGGCAGACGGGUGAGUAACGCGUGGGAACGUACCUUUCAGUUCGGAAUAACUCAGGGAAACUUGUGCUAAUACCGGAUACGCCCGCAAGGGGAAAGAUUUAUCGCUGAAAGAUCGGCCCGCGUUGGAUUAGCUAGUUGGUGGGGUAAAGGCCUACCAAGGCGACGAUCCAUAGCUGGUCUGAGAGGAUGAUCAGCCACACUGGGACUGAGACACGGCCCAGACUCCUACGGGAGGCAGCAGUGGGGAAUAUUGCACAAUGGACGAAAGUCUGAUGCAGCAACGCCGCGUGGAGGAUGACACAUUUCGGUGCGUAAACUCCUUUUAUAUAGGAAGAUAAUGACGGUACUAUAUGAAUAAGCACCGGCUAACUCCGUG
rnacentral:rRNA from 1 species